rnacentral:rRNA from 1 species
UACAGAGGUCUCAAGCGUUGUUCGGAUUCAUUGGGCGUAAAGGGUGCGUAGGCGGCGCGGUAAGUCGGGUGUGAAAUCUCGGAGCUUAACUCCGAAACUGCAUUCGAUACUGCCGUGCUUGAGGACUGGAGAGGAGACUGGAAUUUACGGUGUAGCGGUGAAAUGCGUAGAUAUCGUAAGGAAGACCAGUGGCGAAGGCGGCAUCCUGGACCGGUAUUGACGCUGAGGAGCGAAAGCCAGGGGAGCAAACGGG